rnacentral:rRNA from 1 species
CCUACGGGGGGCAGCAGUGAGGGAUAUUGGUCAAUGGGGGGAACCCUGAACCAGCAACGCCGCGUGAGGGAAGACGGUUUUCGGAUUGUAAACCUCUGUCCUCUGUGAAGAUAAUGACGGUAGCAGAGGAGGAAGCUCCGGCUAACUACGUGCCAGCAGCCGCGGUAAUACGUAGGGAGCGAGCGUUGUCCGGAUUUACUGGGUGUAAAGGGAGCGUAGACGGCAUGGCAAGUCAGAUGUGAAAGCCCGGGGCUCAACCCCGGGACUGCAUUUGAAACUGUCAGGCUGGAGUGCAGGAGAGGUAA